rnacentral:rRNA from 1 species
GAUGAACGCUGGCGGCGUGCCUAAUACAUGCAAGUCGAGCGGUAAGGCUUUACACAGUUUGUUUAAACGGCAAAGACAGGUCGCGAUUACGAAGUAAUCGUUUCUUAUACGAAGAAUAAACGCUUCGGUCUAAACCACUCUUUAUCUGGCUAGAUAAACGAGUUUGAACAAAGUGUGUAGAGUACACGAGCGGCGGACGGCUGAGUAAUGCAUUGGAACGUACCCCAAACUGAGGGAUAAUCCACCGAAAGGUGGACUAAUACCGCAUGUGCCAUUCGUGGUAAAGCUACGGCGGUUUGGGAGCGGCCAAUGUUCGAUUAGCUAGUUGGUGAGGUAAUAGCUCACCAAGGCUACGAUCGAUAGCGGGUCUGAGAGGAUGAUCCGCCAGACUGGAACUGAGACACGGUCCAGACUCCUACGGGAGGCAGCAGUAGGGAAUUUCCACAAUGGGGGCAACCCUGAUGGAGCAACGCCGCGUGCAGGAUGAAGGCCCU